rnacentral:rRNA from 1 species
GACGAACGCUGGCGGCGUGCUUAACACAUGCAAGUCGAACGGAAAGGCCCUGCUUUUGUGGGGUGCUCGAUUGGCGAACGGGUGAGUAACACGUGAGUAACCUGCCCUUGACUUUGGGAUAACUUCAGGAAACUGGGGCUAAUACCGGAUAGGAGCUCCUGCUGCAUGGUGGGGGUUGGAAAGUUUCGGCGGUUGGGGCUGGACUCGCGGCUUCUCAGCUUGUUGGUGGGGUAGUGGCUUACCAAGGCUUUGACGGGUAGCCGGCCUGAGAGGGUGACCGGCGACCAUGGGACUGAGAGACGGAGCAGUAUCCUACGUGCCGCAGCAGUGGGGAACCUGGCACAACGGGGGGAAGCCUGAUGCGGCAGCGCCGCGUGCGGGAUAACGGCCUUCGGGGUGUAAACCGAUUUCGCCUGUGACGAAGCGUGCGUGACGGUAAUGGGUAAAGAAGCACCGGCUAACUACGUG